CUUUCCAAGGGUGGUUUUCACGUGAGUCUUGAUUUUGUCUUUAUAUGCGAGGGAACUACUGGGAACUGGGCCUGACUUUGUAGAUCCUCCUUUUCUUGGCGGGGACCGGGCGUGCGGUCCCGCUCCCCGUAAUGUACGGAGGUAGAAGAAAGGGCUCUGGCCCUCUCGGCGUUAUGUCUUCGGUGCUUGCGGCUUCCCGUUCGCGGGUUCUAUCCUCAGACGCCGGAACACUUAACCGUGCAGAAAUGUAGCUAGGUCCCGCAGUCCCCUCUGGGUUACUCAACGCUUUUUAUUUUAUUUUAGGUCGACAUUGACGCUCCCGGAGUGAUGGUUAACAUUUUCUUUGCUGUUUAUUAUUGAAUCAAUAAAGUCUGUGAACCCUAA